ACGAACGCUGGCGGCGCGCCUAACACAUGCAAGUCGAACGAGAGAUGAGGAGCUUGCUCUUCAAAUCGAGUGGCGAACGGGUGAGUAACGCGUGAGGAACCUGCCUCAAAGAGGGGGACAACAGUUGGAAACGACUGCUAAUACCGCAUAAGCCCACGGCUCGGCAUCGAGCAGAGGGAAAAGGAGCGAUCCGCUUUGAGAUGGCCUCGCGUCCGAUUAGCUAGUUGGUGAGGUAACGGCCCACCAAGGCGACGAUCGGUAGCCGGACUGAGAGGUUGAACGGCCACAUUGGGACUGAGACACGGCCCAGACUCCUACGGGAGGCAGCAGUGGGGAAUAUUGCACAAUGGGGGAAACCCUGAUGCAGCGACGCCGCGUGGAGGAAGAAGGUCUUCGGAUUGUAAACUCCUGUUGUUGAGGAAGAUAAUGACGGUACUCAACAAGGAAGUGACGGCUAACUACGUGCCAGCAGCCGCGGUAAAACGUAGGUCACAAGCGUUGUCCGGAAUUACUGGGUGUAAAGGGAGCGCAGGCGGGAGAACAAGUUGGAAGUGAAAUCCAUGGGCUCAACCCAUGAACUGCUUUCAAAACUGUUUUUCUUGAGUAGUGCAGAGGUAGGCGGAAUUCCCGGUGUAGCGGUGGAAUGCGUAGAUAUCGGGAGGAACACCAGUGGCGAAGGCGGCCUACUGGGCACCAACUGACGCUGAGGCUCGAAAGUGUGGGUAGCAAACAGGAUUAGAUACCCUGGUAGUCCACGCCGUAAACGAUGAGUGCUAAGUGUUGGAGGGUUUCCGCCCUUCAGUGCUGCAGCUAACGCAUUAAGCACUCCGCCUGGGGAGUACGACCGCAAGGUUGAAACUCAAAGGAAUUGACGGGGGCCCGCACAAGCAGUGGAGUAUGUGGUUUAAUUCGACGCAACGCGAAGAACCUUACCAAGUCUUGACAUCCCUUGACGAUGCUGGAAACAGUAUUUCUCUUCGGAGCAAGGAGACAGGUGGUGCAUGGUUGUCGUCAGCUCGUGUCGUGAGAUGUUGGGUUAAGUCCCGCAACGAGCGCAACCCUUAUGGUCAGUUACUACGCAAGAGGACUCUGGCCAGACUGCCGUUGACAAAACGGAGGAAGGUGGGGAUGACGUCAAAUCAUCAUGCCCUUUAUGACUUGGGCUACACACGUACUACAAUGGCGUUAAACAAAGAGAAGCAAGACCGCGAGGUGGAGCAAAACUCAGAAACAACGUCCCAGUUCGGACUGCAGGCUGCAACUCGCCUGCACGAAGUCGGAAUUGCUAGUAAUCGUGGAUCAGCAUGCCACGGUGAAUACGUUCCCGGGCCUUGUACACACCGCCCGUCACACCAUGAGAGCCGGGGGGACCCGAAGUCGGUAGUCUAACCGCAAGGAGGACGCCGCCGAAGGUAAAACUGGUGAUUGGGGUG
rnacentral:rRNA from 1 species